AUUGAACGCUGGCGGCGUGCUUAACACAUGCAAGUCGAUCGGUAACGCGGGGGCAACCCUGGCGACGAGAGGCGGACGGGUGAGGAACGCUUGGGAAUCUGCCCUUCAGCGGGGGACACCACGGGGAAACUCGUGCUAAUACCGCAUACGCUCCACGGAGGAAAGCCGGGGACCGCAAGGCCUGGCACUGAAGGAUGAGCCCAAGUCGGGUUAGCCAGUUGGCGGGGUAACGGCCCACCAAGGCGACGAUCCGUAGCUGGUCUGAGAGGACGAGCAGCCACACUGGGACUGAGACACGGCCCAGACUCCUACGGGAGGCAGCAGUGGGGAAUAUUGGACAAUGGGGGAAACCCUGAUCCAGCGACGCCGCGUGGGUGAAGAAGGCCUGCGGGUUGUAAAGCCCUUUCGGUAGGGACGAAAGCUCUCGACCUAACACGUCGGGAGGUUGACUUAACCUACAAAAGAAGCACCGGCUAACUCUGUGCCAGCCGCCGCGGUAAGAC
rnacentral:rRNA from 1 species